rnacentral:rRNA from 1 species
AGGAUCAUUAUUGAAUGAACUUGGCGUGGUUGUUGCUGGCCCUCUCGGGGGCAUGUGCACACCCGCCAUCUCCAUCUCUCCACCUGUGCACCUCUUGUAGACCUGGAAUAGACUUUCCGAGGCAACUCGGAGGAAUGCUGUCGCUUUGUGUCAGCUUUCUUUGCACCUCCAAGCCUACGUUUUUCAUAUACCCGUAGUAUGUAACAGAAUGUAUCAUUUGGGCCUCAGUGCCUAAAAAUCAUAUACAACUUUCAGCAACGGAUCUCUUGGCUCUCGCAUCGAUGAAGAACGCAGCGAAAUGCGAUAAGUAAUGUGAAUUGCAGAAUUCAGUGAAUCAUCGAAUCUUUGAACGCACCUUGCGCUCCUUGGUAUUCCGAGGAGCAUGCCUGUUUGAGUGUCAUUUAAUUCUCAACCUUAUUAGCUUUCGCUGAUAAUGGCUUGGAUGUGGGGGACUCUCUUUUGCUGGCUUCUUUCACAGAGGUGUCAGCUCCCCUGAAAUGCAUUAGCUGGUGCCCCGCGUGGACCGUCUAUUUGGUGUGAUAAUUAUCUACGCCGUGGAUGUCUGCAAUUGGUUUUGGCACUGCUUCUAACUGUCUGUUCAUUUGGACAAUACAUGACAAUUUGACCUCAAA